rnacentral:lncRNA from 1 species
UUGCUGACUUCCUACAGCCAGCGUGGCUGGGGGCACGUUCCCCAAGCCAUUUCUACCAAGUGGGUGAGCGUUAGACACAGGGAGGUGCAGGGACUCGCCACAAGCACACACAGCUGGAGAAAAUUCAUCCAGGCCGCGAGAGAAGGGAGACACGCAGCCACAACUGUCACCCUCGACACCCCCACCCGCGCUCUCCCCUGAAGGUCGGCAGCUGGAGUCCGUCCGGGCUGAGGCAGCCGAGAAAGGCGACGUGGGGCUGGUGGCCGAGAACAGCCGCAGCACCCAGAGGCUCAUGCUGCCACCACCUCCGCUCACUGCCUCCGGGGUCUUCAGCAAGUUCCGCGACAUCGCCAGGCUCACUGGCAGUGCUUCCACAGCCAAGAAGAUAGACAUCAUCAAAGGCCUCUUUGUGGCCUGCCGCCACUCAGAAGCCCGGUUCAUCGCUAGGUCCCUGAGCGGACGGCUGCGCCUUGGGCUGGCAGAGCAGUCGGUGCUGGCUGCCCUCUCCCAGGCAGUGAGCCUCACGCCCCCGGGCCAAGAAUUCCCACCAGCCAUGGUGGAUGCU